UAAAUUUGAGCGGCUUACGAAACAGUUUUCAAAAAUUUAGCUUUGAAAAAGAGAAAUAUGUUUCACUCCAAUUAAUAAUUUGAUGCGAACAAAGGGAGAUAUAAAAGACCGCAAAUUGUUGUCAAUAAAUUUAAGCAUAUUUAAGCAAACAAUGCCCAAGUCCCAGCGAGAGCUUCCAUUCGGCCAGUUUCGGCAAAAACUCGGAGCCGAAACACAACACUUUUAAGUGUGCAAAGCCGGGCGAUGAUGUGACUGGCUUUUUGUGGAUUUGUGCACGGCGC